GCCCCGCCCCUCCCCCCGCGGCCCCUCCCCCCUUUUGCACUUUCGUGGCCGCGUUUGCUACUGACGGACCCCCCGCCCCUCCCCCAACGUCCCCAAUGUCCCCUCCGUGUCCCCUCCCCCCUCCCGAGCGCACUUUAGGGGCAAAACCGAACGGAAACGGGCAAAAAAUGGAGCGGGGACAAAACGGGGACCGGGGGGAGGGGACACGGAGGGGACAGCGGGGGUGGCACCAGAAAUGGGGCGGGGACACCCAGGGUGACCCCAAUGGGGGAUGUCCCCAAUGGGGUGGCCUUGGGGGUGUCCCCAAUGAGGUGACCCCAAUGGGGGAUGGCACCACUGGGAUGUCCCCAAUGAGGUGACCUCAGUGGGGAUGUCCCCAAGAUGUCCCCAAGGUGAUGGCUCCAUUGGAUGUCCCCAGUGGGAUGUCCCCAAUGGGGGUGGCCCUGAGGGUGUCCCCAAGGCGGUGACCCCAUGGAUGUCCCCAAGGGGAUGGCCCUGUCCCCACCGGGAUGUCCCCAAUGGGGUGACCUCAUGGAUGUCCCCACUGGGAUGUCCCCAAGGGGGUGGCCCUGUCCCCACCGAGGUCACCCCACAGAUGUCCCUCACGGGAUGUCCCCACUCCCCCUCGUGUCCCCACGGCGUCCGUCCGUCCCCUCGGGGUGUCCCCAUGGUGGUGUCCCCUCGGGGGUGUCCCCACAGGGGAGGGGUCCCGGGGGGUGGCGGGGGGUCCCCGGGGUGUCCCCACGGCGGGGUGGCAGCGGUGACAAAUGUCCACUAUUUAUCUGCAUCAGUGAGUGUUAGAGACGCCAAUAAACACCGUAGAGCUGAGCCGGCUGCGGGGACAUCGGGGACAGUGGGGGACACUUGGGGACAUCGGGGUGAUUGGGGACAUUUGGGGACACUUGGGGACAUCGGGGUGAUUGGGGACAUCGGGGACACUUGGGGGGAUUGGGGGAUUUGGGGGGAUUUGGGGCAUUGGGG
rnacentral:lncRNA from 1 species